UGGGGAAUAUUGCACAAUGGGCGAAAGCCUGAUGCAGCAACGCCGCGUGAGCGAUGAAGGCCUUCGGGUCGUAAAGCUCUGUCCUCAAGGAAGAUAAUGACGGUACUUGAGGAGGAAGCCCCGGCUAACUACGUGCCAGCAGCCGCGGUAAUACGUAGGGGGCUAGCGUUAUCCGGAAUUACUGGGCGUAAAGGGUGCGUAGGUGGUUUCUUAAGUCAGAGGUGAAAGGCUACGGCUCAACCGUAGUAAGCCUUUGAAACUGGGAAACUUGAGUGCAGGAGAGGAGAGUGGAAUUCCUAGUGUAGCGGUGGAAUGCGUAGAUAUUAGGAGGAACACCAGUGGCGAAGGCGACUUACUGGUCUUUUACUGACGCUGAGGCACGAAAGCGUGGGGAGCAAACA
rnacentral:rRNA from 1 species